UGGGGAAUAUUGCACAAUGGGCGAAAGCCUGAUGCAGCGACGCCGCGUGAGGGAUGACGGCCUUCGGGUUGUAAACCUCUUUCAGCAGGGAAGAAGCGAAAGUGACGGUACCUGCAGAAGAAGCGCCGGCUAACUACGUGCCAGCAGCCGCGGUAAUACGUAGGGCGCAAGCGUUGUCCGGAAUUAUUGGGCGUAAAGAGCUCGUAGGCGGUUAGUCGCGUCUGCUGUGAAAACUCGAGGCUCAACCUCGGGCUUGCAGUGGGUACGGGCUGACUAGAGUGCGGUAGGGGUGACUGGAAUUCCUGGUGUAGCGGUGGAAUGCGCAGAUAUCAGGAGGAACACCGAUGGCGAAGGCAGGUCACUGGGCCGCAACUGACGCUGAGGAGCGAAAGCAUGGGGAGCGAACAGGAUUAGAUACCCUGGUAGUCCAUGCCGUAAACGUUGGGCACUAGGUGUGGGUCCAUUCCACGGAUUCCGUGCCGCAGCAAACGCAUUAAGUGCCCCGCCUGGGGAGUACGGCCGCAAGGCUAAAACUUAAAGGAAUUGACGGGGUCAUAGCUGUUUCCU
rnacentral:rRNA from 1 species